GGUGGGGUGCGUGAGUGGCUGAAACGAUUUGUCUUGAAAACAAACAUACCGAAAGGUAUCGGAGGUUCGAAUCCUCCCCCCACCG
rnacentral:tRNA from 1 species